GUGGUAUUUGGAGGCUGAUAAGUAAAUGGUUUCUUCGUAGUACUCGGAGUUUGAUAAGUGUAGGGCCUACUUGUAGUAUUUGGAGGUUGAUAAGUGUACGGCCUGCUUGUCGUAUUUGGUGGUUGGUAAGUAAAUGGUUUGGAUGUUGUUUGAGGAGGCAAGUAAGUUGGCGGAUUGGUUCUAAAAGUAGUUGGUGGUGUUUGGUAUGUAUAUGGCCUGCUUGUUGUACUCGGUGGUUGAUACGUGAACGGUUUCUUGGUAGUUGGUGGUUGCGUGUAUCUUGUAGGUGGUGGGGUUGAUAUAGGUGGAGGGGUUCUUGUGGCGAAUGUGAAAGGUUCGUUUGGAUUGGGAUAAUUAUAUCCAGGUUUUUCCGUCACAGGCCUUGGUGGUCUAGUCUGGUAUACAGGUGGAGAAGUUGGCCUUGUUUGAAUUGGAGGCGGUUCUGUCGGUCUUGGUGGAAAUGUAAAUGGAUUAUUGGGAGUUGGAUAGCUAUAUCCGGGCCUUUCCGUUCCUGGGGUUGGAGGUCGCGUUUGUAUCACAGGUGGUGGUGUCGGUCUAGGUGGAAAAGUCAGUGGCUCUUUUGGUGUUGGGUAAUUAUACUCUGGUCUUUGAGUAAUUGGUGGUGGAGGUCUUGUCUGGAUUACCGGAGGUGGUGUUGGUCUGGUUUGUGUUACAGGAGGUGGCGUAGGCCUUGGCGGAUACGUGAGCGGUUUUUCCGGUGUUGGAUAAUUGUAUUCUGGUCUUUGAGUAACUGGUGGUGGAGGUCUUGUCUGGAUUACCGGAGGUGGUGUUGGUCUGGUUUGUGUUACAGGAGGUGGCGUAGGCCUUGGCGGAUACGUGAGCGGUUUUUCCGGUGUUGGAUAAUUGUAUUCUGGUCUUUGAGUAACUGGUGGUGGAGGUCUUGUUUGGAUUACCGGGGGUGGUGUUGGUCUGGUUUGUGUUACAGGAGGUGGUGUAGGCCUUGGUGGAAACGUGAACGGUUCCUUUGGUGUUGGAUAUUCAUAUCCGGUUACUAGGGGCGUAGGUGAUGGUGUUGGUUGCGGUCUUGGUGGGAAAGUUACGACUGGUCUCGGAGUAACUGGAG
rnacentral:misc_RNA from 1 species